UGGAAUAUAGCUUAUUGAUAGAGGACUUGCCUGGUGUGCAUGAGGCCCUAGGUUCAAUAUCUAGCAUCUCAA
rnacentral:tRNA from 1 species